AUAUUAUUAAGUGGAGGAAAAGAAACCAAAAGGGAUUCCCCCAGUAGCGGCGAGCGAAAAGGGAUCAGCCCAAAGCCGAAUCCCGUGCCCUUUGGACACCGGGAAAUGUGGCGUAUGGGAGGCGUAUUUCAGAUUGAUGGAGGCGACUCAAGUCCCCAUGAAUGGGGCUAUGACCGAAGUGGGUGUGAGUCCCGUUCAGUCGCUCUCCUCUUUCUGAGCAUCGUCCUCCCGGGAGUCGGGUUGCUUGAAAGUGCAGCCCAAAGUGGGUGGUAUGCUCCACCUAAGGCUAAAUAUCCCCGAGAGACCGAUAGCAAAAAAGUACCGUGAGGGAAAGUUGAAAAGAACUUUGAAGAGAGAGUUCAAUAGUACGUGAAACCGCUUAGAGGUAAACGGGUGGGCCCUCGAAGUCCGAAGGCAGAUAGAUUCAGUUGGUGGCAUUAUCGAACGAUCUGGCUGUGGAUUGCGCACGUCAUCGAGUAGAUGUCGCUUUCCUUGUUGAGAUCCGUGCCCUGGCGCACUUCUAAUCUGCCCGUAGGAGGCCGCGACCGGUUGGUUGACGUUUGGAAGGACAGUUUAGUGACAGGUGGCCUACCUCGCUUCCGUGAGGUGGGUGUUACAGCACUUUACAGUAUAGCCGACCGUUGUGCCGACCGGACACGAGAGAACCUCGCUUUACGUUCCCUAUAUCGUGAUUGUUCGUAAUUUGCCUAUGGGGUCGGAUACACACACGAGGUGUUUCGACUUACAUUGCGCGAUUUGUGGGCAAUCUCGUGUGGAGCUAGAGGUCUGCGGUCAGUAGGCCGGGUCCCACCCGACCCGUCUUG
rnacentral:rRNA from 1 species